rnacentral:rRNA from 1 species
CCUUGUACACACCGCCCGUCACGCCAUGGAAGCUGGAGGGACCCAAAGCCGGUGGCUAACCGCAAGGGGCAGCCGUCUAAGGUCAAUUCAGUGACUGGGGCG